UGCCAGAAGUAUGGCGAGGGUGGCCAUCUCUCUUCCAUCCUCACCGAGGUAGAAGCUGUUUUGAUAAGUAGACACAUCAUGGACAAACGCCUGAGUUCAGAAGGAAUCUGGAUUGGACUACAUGACCCCCGUCGGAAUAGAAAAUGGAAAUGGACGGAUUUCUCCACAGUCUCUUACUUACCCUGGAACAGUGCCAGCCUUUACCCUUCAUGGACUGAAGCCUGUGCCAGUCUGGCAUAUGCCACAGGUGAGAAGAGUUUACAAAAUGGAAUGCGGCACCAUGUUCAGUAAAGAUGAGGUACAUGUGCAGUUUGCCACAGGAAUGAAAACAGCGGCAAGGGACACUUGGCCCCAGGACUCCUUAAACAACAAGGCCAG